AUUGAACGCUGGCGGCAGGCCUAACACAUGCAAGUCGAACGGUAACAGGAAGCAGCUUGCUGCUUUGCUGACGAGUGGCGGACGGGUGAGUAAUGUCUGUGACACUGCCCGAUGGAGGGGGAUAACUACUGGAAACGGUAGCUAAUACCGCAUAACGUCGCAAGACCAAAGAGGGGGACCUUAGGGCCUCUUGCCAUCGGAUGUGCCCAGAUGGGAUUAGCUAGUAGGUGGGGUAACGGCUCACCUAGGCGACGAUCCCUAGCUGGUCUGAGAGGAUGACCAGCCACACUGGAACUGAGACACGGUCCAGACUCCUACGGGAGGCAGCAGUGGGGAAUAUUGCACAAUGGGCGCAAGCCUGAUGCAGCCAUGCCGCGUGUAUGAAGAAGGUCUUCGGGUUGUAAAGUACUUUCAGCGGGGAGGAAGGGAGUAAAGUUAAUACCUUGGCUCAUUGACGUUACCCGCAGAAGAAGCACCGGCUAACUCCGUG
rnacentral:rRNA from 1 species